AAAGAAUUAGUUAAAAUUUAUAACCUUAAUAUGUCAAAUUAAAAUUAUUAGAAAAUUCUAAUACUCUUUA
rnacentral:tRNA from 1 species